rnacentral:rRNA from 1 species
CCUACGGGGGGCUGCAGUGGGGAAUAUUGGACAAUGGGGGGAACCCUGAUCCAGCCAUGCCGCGUGUGUGAAGAAGGCCCUCGGGUUGUAAAGCACUUUCAGUGAGGAAGAACGCCUGGUGGUUAAUACCCAUCAGGAAAGACAUCACUCACAGAAGAAGCACCGGCUAACUCCGUGCCAGCAGCCGCGGUAAUACGGAGGGUGCGAGCGUUAAUCGGAAUUACUGGGCGUAAAGCGCGCGUAGGUGGCUUGAUAAGCCGGUUGUGAAAGCCCCGGGCUCAACCUGGGAACGGCAUCCGGAACUGUCAAGCUAGAGUGCAGGAGAGGAAGGUAGAAGUCCCGGUGUAGCGGUGAAAUGCGUAGAGAUCGGGAGGAAUACCAGUGGCGAAGGCGGCCUUCUGGACUGACACUGACACUGAGGUGCGAAAGCGUGGGUAGCAAACAGGAUUAGAUACCCGGGUAGUC